GACGAACGCUGGCGGCGUGCCUAACACAUGCAAGUCGAACGGAGUAAGAAAGCUUGCUUUCUUACUUAGUGGCGGACGGGUGAGUAACGCGUGAGUAACCUGCCUUUCAGAGGGGGAUAACGUCUGGAAACGGACGCUAAUACCGCAUGACAUUCCGAGAUCACAUGGUUUUGGAAUCAAAGGAGCAAUCCGCUGAGAGAUGGACUCGCGUCCGAUUAGCCAGUUGGCGGGGUAAAGGCCCACCAAAGCAACGAUCGGUAGCCGGGCUGAGAGGCUGAACGGCCACAUUGGGACUGAGACACGGCCCAGACUCCUACGGGAGGCAGCAGUGGGGGAUAUUGCACAAUGGAGGAAACUCUGAUGCAGCAACGCCGCGUGAGGGAAGAAGGUCUUCGGAUUGUAAACCUUUGUCCUCAGGGAAGAUAAUGACGGUACCUGAGGAGGAAGCUCCGGCUAACUACGUG
rnacentral:rRNA from 1 species